UNGAGGUGCAGCUGCAGGGUGUGACCUA
rnacentral:piRNA from 1 species